rnacentral:piRNA from 1 species
UGAGAAGUCGCCACCAUGAGGAAGCUCCUC